rnacentral:rRNA from 1 species
GAUGAACGCUGACAGUAUGCUUAACACAUGCAAGUCUACCUGAACCUCGGUUUGGGUGGCGGCUGGGUGAGUAACGCGUAACGAACUUGCCUCACAGAUACGGACAACACUUGGAAACGAAUGCUAAUAUCUGAUAUUUUGAUUUUAGGGCAUCCUAGAAUUAUGAAAGCUAUAUGCACUGUUAGAGAGCUUUGCGUCUGGUUAGCUAGUUGGAGAGGUAACGGCUUACCAAGGCGAUGAUGGGUAGCCGGCCUGGGAGGGUGAUCGGCCACAAGGGGACUGGGACACGGCCCUUACUCCUACGGGGGGCAGCAGUGGGAAAUAUUGGACAAUGGACCAAGAGUCUGAUGCAGCAUUUCAGUGUGCACGAAGAAGUUUUUCGGAAGGUAAAGUGCUUUCAUUUGAGAAGAAAAAAAUGACGGUACCAACAGAAGAAGCGCCGGCUAACUACGUG